rnacentral:antisense_RNA from 1 species
GCGGCCGCUCCGCCCUCACCUGAGCCUGAGGUUGGCCAUGAACUCGGGCAUGGAGACGGUGUCCAUCAGCACGAAGUCUGCCUUGCCGAAUUCCAGGCUCUCCUGCUCCGCCAUGGCGCCAGCGCGGGGGCUCAGGAUUAUUGCGGAUGUCUUGAGCAUGGGACCAUUCUUUUUGCAUCCACCAAAUAACUAUUGUACUACUUCGCAUAUAUAAAUAUGAAAUCCAUACUGGUUCAGUGGAAUGAAGUGAGUUGACAUCUUCUAUUACAAAAUCUAUGAGGAAAUCUAGAGGCCUCCAAGGACCUGGCUGGGCUUCAACUCUGGCUGAGUUUGAGAUGAGUAAACCAGACUGAAGGACCUUGCCCAAGGCCUGCUUCAGCUGCCAGCCACCCACACUUGCUAAGAGAAAGGAAAGUAGCUUUGUCACCUCCUGAGGGACUGCCUCUGCCAUCAGAAAACCACCCCAAUCCCUGGCACCAGCAGAGCUGGGUUGCAUCUGACUACCAUUAGCAGCUGUCCUUCAGAAGGAGGAGAUCCACCUGUCUCGAUAUCAGUGUCCUCAUUUGUGGAAUAAAAGCUCUGGAAUAAGGU